AGCAGCCGCGGUAAUUCCAGCUCCAAUAGCGUAUAUUAAAGUUGUUGCAGUUAAAAAGCUCGUAGUUGAAUUUCGGAAUCUGUCCGUCGGUCGGGCUUAACUGUCCGUACUGGUGUGGUAGGUUCUUACCUUCUGAAUAACCAGCAUGCCAUUAAUUUGGUGCGUUGGGGAAGCAGGACUAUUACCUUGAAAAAUUAGAGUGCUCAAAGCAGGCUAGUGCCUGAAUACAUUAGCAUGGAAUAAUAAAAUAGGACGGCAUGGUUCUAUUUUGUUGGUUUCUAGGAUCACCGUAAUGAUUAAUAGGGAUAGUUGGGGGCAUUAGUAUUCAAUUGUCAGAGGUGAAAUUCUUGGAUUUAUUGAAGACUAACUUCUGCGAAAGCAUUUGCCAAGGAUGUUUUCAUUAAUCAAGAACGAAAGUUAGGGGAUCGAAGACGAUCAGAUACCGUCGUAGUCUUAACCAUAAACUAUGCCGACUAGGGAUCGGACG
rnacentral:rRNA from 1 species